GACGAACGCUGGCGGCGUGCCUAAUACAUGCAAGUAGAACGCUGAAGAGAGGAGCUUGCUCUUCUUGGAUGAGUUGCGAACGGGUGAGUAACGCGUAGGUAACCUGCCUUGUAGCGGGGGAUAACUAUUGGAAACGAUAGCUAAUACCGCAUAACAAUGGAUGACACAUGUCAUUUAUUUGAAAGGGGCAAUUGCUCCACUACAAGAUGGACCUGCGUUGUAUUAGCUAGUAGGUGAGGUAACGGCUCACCUAGGCGACGAUACAUAGCCGACCUGAGAGGGUGAUCGGCCACACUGGGACUGAGACACGGCCCAGACUCCUACGGGAGGCAGCAGUAGGGAAUCUUCGGCAAUGGGGGCAACCCUGACCGAGCAACGCCGCGUGAGUGAAGAAGGUUUUCGGAUCGUAAAGCUCUGUUGUAAGUCAAGAACGAGUGUGAGAGUGGAAAGUUCACACUGUGACGGUAGCUUACCAGAAAGGGACGGCUAACUACGUGCCAGCAGCCGCGGUAAUACGUAGGUCCCGAGCGUUGUCCGGAUUUAUUGGGCGUAAAGCGAGCGCAGGCGGUUUGAUAAGUCUGAAGUUAAAGGCUGUGGCUCAACCAUAGUUCGCUUUGGAAACUGUCAAACUUGAGUGCAGAAGGGGAGAGUGGAAUUCCAUGUGUAGCGGUGAAAUGCGUAGAUAUAUGGAGGAACACCGGUGGCGAAAGCGGCUCUCUUGGUCUGUAACUGACGCUGAGGCUCGAAAGCGUGGGAAGCGAACAGG
rnacentral:rRNA from 1 species